AGGGGCUGCUCGUGGUGAGAAGUAUCAAGCGGGCUGCUAGAUGGAGACGGGGGCUGCUCCUGGUGAGAAGUAUCAAGUGGGCUGCUAGAUGGAGACGGGGGCUGCUCCUGGGAUUGGUUUUUUAUGCUGUCCCACGAAGUCCUGAACCCCAUGUACUGCCUGUUUCAGUACGCCAACAAGAAUACAUGUAACUACUGUCUGCAGAUCAACCUGGCCUCGUCCGUCAACCCAGACCAUCUCCAGUAGGAAGAUUCAUCGCCAUGGUGAGAAGUCAUACAAUAUGUCUGCAGAUGGAACAUAACACUGAUUUUGUUUGGGGUCCUGGUUGCCCUCCACGAUCUUACCCUCUCUGGGGUGAUCUUGGAUGGGUCUUUGCAAACUAACUACUUGGUCCAGAAUGAAAUCAAUAUUAUUGCAGUCAUAAAAAGAAUAGACUAUUUCGAGCUGGACAUGGAGAUGACAUUCGUUGCAGACUUUGAGAUCCUAGGAAAGAUCGAGACGGUAGAUCUCAAGGAAGGCGGCAAAGAUAUUGACGUCACCGAGGCUAUUUUAUGACGAAAGGCUGCUGUGAAGAAACAAGUGGUGUGGCCAACAUUCCACACCAGCCUCGGGACACCCUCUGGAAGAGCAUCAACGAGACGAGACACCAGCAGCAGCGCCUCCACCACCAUCAUUCACUCGAGCGGCGGCGGAGGCAGUGGUCAGGUCUACCGCGCCACCACUCCCUAUUCACGCUAAAACAGACUCUGUCUUUCAAGGUGGAGAAGGAAGAUGAUUAUGAUGAGUGUAGCAAAUAGGACUAUGUGGACAAACUUGAACAUCCUGGAGGAUAUCCUAGAUUUUGAAGUGGAAAUAAAAAGAUGUUUGCUGCUCGACCAGAUUCAUGUUAAAGCAGAAAUUCUUCACGAUUGAGGAGGACAAAUUCAGGUAGAGAAAGAUGAUGAUUAUGACGUGUAUAGCAAAUAAGACUGUGGACAAACAUGAACAUCCUGGAGGAUAUCUUUAAAUCUAGAGUGGAAAGAAAAGAUGACAUCUCACAUCUACCACUCAACAGAAUCAAGAUCAUAUAUUUAUAUUUAUGGUGAACUGUCUUGCAUGUACCCGUUUGUUUGUUUGUUUUCCUGUCCGCUGCCAGUCUACACAGCGGCUGUAGAGUCGCUCAAGUCGCGAAAAAGCUGAAAAGUGGGUGGAAGGGGCGUACAUGGCAGGGGUACCUUUCCUGCAUGCCUAGGAAAUUGCUGACAAACGCAGACAAAAAACUCAUCAAUGUCUGAAGACGGUCAUCAUUUCCGUAUAAAGAUACUAGGAAGCCAGAAAAAUGUGGGGGACAUGUCGUCGUCCCCCCCCCCCCCCCUCCCUUGUCAGAUUUGUGUCCAUGCUAUUUCAAAAUUACAUGUAUUUUAUUCAUAGAUGAUGCAAAUUCAAAAAUGCUAGACCUGAUUUGAAUAAUGAAAAGUAAACAAAAAUAUAUGGUAAAAUCUCAUUACUUUGAAGUGGUUUAAUGAAGAGAAGAAUGGAACUCAGAGUGAGAUUAGAGUAGAUUUUUAGUGAAUAUUUGUUCACUCAUUUCAUUUCACUCAUUUUGGAGUAACCUCAGGGAUCACUCGUGAACCCUGAGGUCAAUCUAAAAUGAGUGAAAAGAUGUGUACGUUCGCACCAAAUAUAAGAGGAAGAAGAAAGGGGAAAAGACAGAAAAGAACAGAAAAAA
rnacentral:lncRNA from 1 species